GGCUGCCCUGAUUCCGCCCGCAGAUCGUGGCGGCUGAGUCGCGCCUCCAUCACCUGGCAGGUGGAGCCGUGCUGCGUUGUGCAUUAGCUCUCAUAACCUCCAAUCCGAUGGGGCCGUUAGGACUCUCUGGCUCAGUUGCACGCUGAUACAGUGAUGAAGGACCGUGUGACUUUACUUCAUUUAAAGCGGUCCUUGACAAGGAGAGACGGACGCAGAACAGGCAUGGCAGGAUAAGACCUGGUUCCAGGAAGUGCUUCAUAGGGAACUUCCUGUCCCCAGAGGAAGUGCUUCAUAGGGAACUUCCUGUCCCCAGAGGAAG